UUCAUUGGCCACUCAUCAUCUCUUUGCUUGGUGCGUUUGUUUGUUUUAUGUGAGGAUGCAAUUGUAAGUCCGUGUAAUUUGGCAUUUGUUUUCCUAUGAUCAUAUGUUGGAGGUUAGAGUAAGCCCAGAUAGAUUGGCAUCUGACAUUCAAAUGUCUUGUUUUGCUUUGUUGGAGAUUGGUAUAAGCCCAGAUAGAUUGGCAUCCAGUAUCCAUUUUUUAUUUUC
rnacentral:lncRNA from 1 species